AUGUACCACAACAUACGGUCAUUUGGCAAACAAGAUGGUUUGGAUCGUAGUCAUCUGGAGCUCUACUUCUAUGAUGAUGAUCCCAGUUUAGAGCAUAGGUAUCGCAGUUGUCGCAAAGAGCAGUGCCAGAAAGACAAAGAAGUAAUCACACAACUGGUCGACAUACUUCGUGGCAACCCAUACUCUGAACACCUUCGUAGUAUGGGGCAUGUUGAUGAUGUGGAUGACUAUCACAUAACACUUAACCUUGACCAAAGGAUGGAUCAGAGAAGAUAUAAUGCGCCGACCACUUCAGAAGUAGCAGCUGUGUGGGUGGAGGGCAGUGAACGUCGAAGACAGUUCGGUAAUAGUGUCAUCCUGCAUGGGAAGAAUAGAGAUAUAUAA
rnacentral:rRNA from 1 species